rnacentral:misc_RNA from 1 species
AGAAAGAAAGAAAGAAAAAGAAAAUGGAAGCAGUGGCCGAGGGACUAUGGGGAUUGGCUGAUUACGAGGAGCAGAAGGGGGAGAUAGGCAAGGCAGUUAAGUGCCUUGAAGCUAUUUGCCAAACCCAGGUCUCUUUCUUGCCAAUCAUCGAAGUCAAAACCCGUCUUCGCAUUGCUACUCUUCUUCUCAAACACUCUCACAACGUCAACGAGGCCAAAUCCCACCUGGAGCGAGCCCAAUUACUUCUCAAAUCGAUCCCUUCCUGCUUCGAAUUGAAGUGCCGUACUUACAGCUUGUUGAGUCAGUGUUAUCAUCUGGUGGGUGCGAUUCCUCCGCAGAAACAGAUUCUCCAUAAGGGCCUCGAGCUCAUUGCUUCUACUGCUCCUGAGGUAACAGUUAAAUUAUGGUCCUGUAACUUCAGUUCCCAGCUGGCCAAUGCAUUGAUAAUCGAAGGGGAUUAUCAUUCUGCUAUUUCUGCUUUGGAAUCUGGUUAUGAUUGUGCUGCACAAAUUUGUUAUCCGGAAUUACAGAUGUUCUUUGCAACUUCUGUUCUACAUGUGCACCUCAUGCAAUGGUGUGAUGAUAAUUUAGUUCAGUCUGCUCUUAAUAGAUGUGAUGUGCUUUGGGAUUCCUUGGGCUCUGAAAGAAGAGAACAAUGCUUAGGUUUGCUCUUUUACAACGAACUCCUUCACAUAUUCUAUCAACUCCGCAUCUGUGAUUUCAAGAAUGCUACCCAACAUGUCGACAAGUUGGAUGCUGCUAUGAAGGCUGACAUACAGAAUAUGCGUGAAAUACAGCGCCUAAAAAAUGAACUUAGUGCCCUAAAUCAAAGUCUUUCCAGGCCUGACUUGCCCAACAGAGAUAGGUCAUUACUUUCUUUGAAGCAUUCUCAAAUUCAACAGAAACUGACAAGUAUGUCUAAAACCACAUCAUUUGCUGAACAAUCUCUGGAGCCUGCAUACUUUGGAAAUGCAAGGCGGGCAUCAGAAGAUAAGCUAGUGCUGGCACCACCUCCAAUUGAUGGGGAGUGGCUACCAAAGAGUGCUGUCUAUGCUUUGGUUGAUCUUAUGUCAGUCAUAUUUGGCCGUCCACGGGGACUUUUUAAGGAGUGUGCCAAGCGCAUUCAAUCUGGAAUGCAAACCAUUCAAGAUUUCUAAUAAUUAUGGGAAGCAUCGGCAUCUUUUGUUAGCCUUGAGCAACCUAUGCUUGCGUCUUUGAAUUGUAGUUAUUGCUUUUUACACAUUAGUGGAGCUGGUAAAGCUUGGAAUAACUGAUGGUGUUAGAGGUUAGCUUCAUCUUUUAUGACAAUGUAAAUAUGGUUUCAGUUAUUGAUAUUACACUGUUACUUGCAUGAUCUGUCUGGAGUUUGAUAUCAUGCAGAAGUGGAUCUGCGGCACUCUGCCAUUUGGAUGGCUGGCGUCUACUUAAUGCUAUUAAUGCAGUUUCUUGAAAACAAAGUGGCAAUGGAGCUCACACGGUCUGAAUUUGUUGAAGCACAAGGGGCACUAGUGCAAAUGAAAGAUUGGUUCAUUCGCUUUCCAACAAUUCUCCAGGCCUGUGAGAGUGUCAUUGAGAUGCUCAGGGGCCAAUAUGCUCAUUCUGUUGGCUGUUAUAGUGAAGCGGCUUUUCACUAUAUUGAAGCAGCAAAAGUAUGUUAUUUAAUUUGCCAUACAUGGUUAAUAACAGAUUGUUCAACUACUAGUCAGUUGAUGUUAUUGAUAAUGCUUAAGGAUGACAUACUGAGCUAAAUAUCAUGUUUACUAAUCUGUACAAGCUAUUUUCUAUACAUAUAAGUUUUUAUUCUGUUUAGCAAGUGGAUGUUCAUUUUGUAAAAUAUAACUAAG